UACGGGGGGGGCACGCGUUGUUCGGAAUUACUGGGCGUAAAGGGCUCGUAGGCGGCCAACUAAGUCAGACGUGAAAUCCCCAGGCUUAACCUGGGAACUGCGUCUGAUACUGGAUGGCUUGAAUUCGGGAGAGGGAUGCAGAAUUCCAGGUGUAGCGGUGAAAUGCGUAGAUAUCUGGAGGAAUACCGGUGGCGAAGGCGGCAUCCUGGACCGAGAUUGACGCUGAUGAGCGAAAGCUAGGGGAGCAAACGGG
rnacentral:rRNA from 1 species